AGUGAACGCUGGCGGCGUGCCUAAUACAUGCAAGUCGAACGGAGUGGCGCACGGGUGAGUAAUAUAUAGCUAAUCUGCCCCUUGCUGGAGGACAACUGUUAGAAAUGACUGCUAAUACUCCAUAGCAAGGGAUGAGACUAUAUCGUAUAAGCUAGUCGGUGGGGUAACGGCCUACCGAGGCUAUGACGCGUAACUGGUCUGAGAGGAUGAUCAGUCACAUUGGAACAGAGACACGGUUCAAACGCCUACGGGAGGCAGCAGUAGGGAAGAUUGCGCAAUGGGGGAAACCCUGACGAAGCAACGCCGCGUGGAGGAUGACACUUUUCGGAGCGUAAACUCCUUUUGUUAGGGAAGAGGGAAAUAAAGAAUAAGGACCGGCUAACUCCGUGCCAGCAGCCGCGGUAAUAG
rnacentral:rRNA from 1 species